AUUAUUUAAAUGAUGAUUUCAUAGUUCAACUGAUUGUUUUAAUGAUUAGUAACUAGCAUUUUGUCUUUCGCUCCUAUCUGAUAAAGAAA